GUCUCUUCGGAGACAUCCGAUAAAAUUGGAACGAUACAGAGAAGAUUAGCAUGGCCCCUGCACAAGGAUGACAGGCAUAAAUUGAGAAAGAAAAAAAAAGUAU